rnacentral:piRNA from 1 species
UAGCCUUUAACACUUGGACUUUUGGGUC